UACGGAGGGUGCGAGCGUUGUCCGGAAUCAUUGGGCGUAAAGGGCGCGUAGGUGGCCCGGUCAGUCUUUGGUGAAAGCGCGGGGCUCAACCCUGCGUCGGCCAGGGAUACUGCCGCGGCUCGAGCACUGUAGAGGCAGGCGGAAUUCCGGGUGUAGCGGUGGAAUGCGUAGAGAUCCGGAAGAACACCGGUGGCGAAGGCGGCCUGCUGGGCAGUUUAGCUGACACUGAGGCGCGACAGCGCGGGGAGCAAACAGG
rnacentral:rRNA from 1 species